CCUUUUUUUAAGUUUCACUGUCUGUCUUCUAAACUUCGCUGAUGCAGCUGGUCGUCUUUGUGUGAAUCUGCGUGUGAAGAAAGCAGAGGAGUGGAGUUACUCAGAGACUGACUGGAUUAAACACACCAAAGGUUUAUAUUCCAGUUGGACCGUAUCUCUUACCAAGGUCUGCACUACGUAUCAGGAUUUGAUCUUAUUCAGGUGAAGGUAGAAAGUGUGUGUGAGCUGAUGUGAAUUGAGC